rnacentral:rRNA from 1 species
CGUGUAGGCGGUCGGUCAAGUCCGGUGUGAAAGCCCGGGGCUCAGCUCCGGAAGUGCAUCGGAAACUAGCCGACUUGAGCGCGAUAGAGGAGGGUGGAAUUCCUGGUGUAGCGGUGAAAUGCGUAGAUAUCAGGAGGAACACCGGCGGCGAAGGCGGCCCUCUGGAUCGUUGCUGACGCUGAGACGCGAAAGCGUGGGGAGCAAACAGGAUUAGAUACCCUGGUAGUCCACGCUGUAAAUGAUGGGUACUAGGUGUUCGGGGUGUUGACCCCCUGAGUGCCGACGCUAACGCAUUAAGUACCCCGCCUGGGGACUACGGCCGCAAGGCUAAA